UGACAAGUGUGAGCCGAUUGUUCCGGCUCCCAACCGAUCAUAGUGUCAUAAAAUAUGCUCAUCUAGUGGAUUUGUUUAGGACGAGUGGCUAUAUCGACCUACUUACUGGGAAAUUCCAGGGCUUAUACCAGUCAGAAUGAUACACAAUUCAAAUCCAGAUGCUUUGUUUUGCCCUUGAAUCAUAUUCCUUAUGCCUAAUAUUGGACGCUUAG
rnacentral:misc_RNA from 1 species